rnacentral:rRNA from 1 species
UACGUAGGGGCCAGCGUUGCCCGGAAUCAUUGGGCGUAAAGCGCGCGUAGGUGGCUUCGUAAGUCCGUUGUGAAAGUCAAAGGCUCAACCUUUGAAAGCCGAUGGAUACUGCGGAGCUAGAGUACGGAAGAGGCGAGUGGAAUUCCUGGUGUAGCGGUGGAAUGCGCAGAUAUCAGGAGGAACACCAAUAGCGAAGGCAGCUCGCUGGGACGUUACUGACACUGAGGCGCGAAAGCGUGGGGAGCGAACAGG